AUUGAACGCUGGCGGCAGGCCUAACACAUGCAAGUCGAGCGGAUGAAGGGAGCUUGCUCCUGGAUUCAGCGGCGGACGGGUGAGUAAUGCCUAGGAAUCUGCCUGUAGUGGGGGAUAACGUCCGGAAACGGGCGCUAAUACCGCAUACGUCCUGAGGGAGCAAGUGGGGGAUCUUCGGACCUCACGCUAUCAGAUGAGCCUAGGUCGGAUUAGCUAGUUGGUGGGGUAAAGGCCUACCAAGGCGACGAUCCGUAACUGGUCUGAGAGGAUGAUCAGUCACACUGGAACUGAGACACGGUCCAGACUCCUACGGGAGGCAGCAGUGGGGAAUAUUGGACAAUGGGCGAAAGCCUGAUCCAGCCAUGCCGCGUGUGUGAAGAAGGUCUUCGGAUUGUAAAGCACUUUAAGUUGGGAGGAAGGGCAGUAAGUUAAUACCUUGCUGUUUUGACGUUACCAACAGAAUAAGCACCGGCUAACUUCGUG
rnacentral:rRNA from 1 species